rnacentral:tRNA from 1 species
GCGGAUGUGGCGAAACUGGUAGACGCACUGGCUUCAGGUGCCAGCGCCCGCAAGGGCAUGAGAGUUCGAAUCUCUCCAUCCGCA